rnacentral:rRNA from 1 species
UUUGAUGGCGACCGGCGCACGGGUGAGUGACACGUAUCCAACCUGCCGAUGACUCGGGGAUAGCCUUUCGAAAGAAAGAUUAAUACCCGAUGGCAUAGUUCUUCCGCAUGGUAGAACUAUUAAAGAAUUUCGGUCAUCGAUGGGGAUGCGUUCCAUUAGGUUGUUGGCGGGGUAACGGCCCACCAAGCCUUCGAUGGAUAGGGGUUCUGAGAGGAAGGUCCCCCACAUUGGAACUGAGACACGGUCCAAACUCCUACGGGAGGCAGCAUG